CCACUUCACAUUCAGGCUGUUCCACAACAGAGGAAAAAAGAAUUGUCGACUUUAUUGUAAAGUUAAAGGGGUCUGAGGAGCAUUUGGUGGGUGUACUCAACGGGAAGCCCUCUAAGUGGUUGCGUAAGCAAGCAUCUUUCCAGGUGCCUGUCUACAUAGACAGUGAGGAAGAGCAAGAUAUCCCUUUGCUUAUCUUAAAGACGUACUGCACAGGACACCAACAAAACUGAGGUUUACAGAUGAAGUGCAGCUUAUCUGUGAUGUUCUUUUUCCAGAGGCCAUCAUACAUGCUCUGGGGGUCUUGAGGGGUUUGUCUUUAGAUGAUGCUGAGCAGGU